rnacentral:rRNA from 1 species
GAUCAUGGCUCAGAUUGAACGCUGGCGGCAGGCCUAACACAUGCAAGUCGAGCGGCAGCGGGGAAGUAGCUUGCUACUUUUGCCGGCGAGCGGCGGACGGGUGAGUAAUGCCUGGGAAAUUGCCCAGUCGAGGGGGAUAACAGUUGGAAACGACUGCUAAUACCGCAUACGCCUACGGGGAAAGCAGGGGACCUUAGGGCCUUGCGCGAUUGGAUAUGCCCAGGUGGGAUUAGCUAGUUGGUGG